UUCAAGGCGCCCCGUGAAAGCCCAACGAAAGCAAAACAAUGGCAGAAUAAACCGCAUAAUGGCGUUUUCUUGUCGCUUUCUUCACUUCCGAUCCACGCGGAUUCACACGCUGGACGCGUUUAAGUCGUUUGCGUUGAGUAUUGAAUUUGGACAGAGCCCAGAGAUGAGGUUGUUUAUGUGUAGUAAGGGGAACUUGAAACCGACCGCCUUGCCCCAUGUCCUCGCUUGUUUUCCUUCUUUCGCUCGGAUUCUCCAUGUUGUCUGAGCGGACUCGACUCUGGCGCAGAAAUAAAUACAGCACGCAUUAAAACGCACAGCUGAUAAGAGACGAUGUCGGGGCCCCUCCCAUAUGGACCCGGAGACAAGGCGGGAUAAACAUCCCAAUUACAUGAGACCAGUCGUGAACCCGGAUGAGCCGCAAACAAGGAUUUUUGCUCAAGAUCUGAAAUGUCCUCAAGAUCCCUGACCUUUCCGAAAACGUGAACUCCAGGAUGAGCCUCGCCGAACCUCGUCUCGCAGGACUGGGAGGUCUGGGAUGUUACGGUGCCGAGAGGACGUUAGCGUGUGGACGAUGCUGAGAUGCUUCACGUCAUCACUUUUGACUGAGGAGCUAUAUUUGCCUGAUGAUACACACAACCAGCAUUUAUUUAUUUACUUUAAAUAAACAAAUAAAAAAAUAAAUUAUUAAUUGAAUAAGAAAUAGAGAUGAAAUUUUAAUAAUAUGAAUAUUUUUUCACCUAAAUAUCAAAAACAUACUGCUACAAUUAUUUUAUUAUUGUAUUUUUCUUUAUAUUUAUUGACUUUAAUUUUUUUCCUUUUAAAAUACAGAUAAAUUACAAAUAUACUCGUCUGUUACCGCCUGAAGAAUUACACCACUAACUAAAGCUAUCAUAAAACCGAAUACUGUCUCAUGUGUUGUUAUAAAUGAUCACAGGCCACAUAAUAUAAGAUUUCUUUUUUAAUGAACAGUAAUUCAUUUGUACUCUGUCUACUAAAGCAUUUUUUUUUGUGUCUAUUAAAGUGACAGGUUUUUUUUUGUGUUAUUUCUUUAAUAAAAUUCGAGUGCAGAA